ensembl:processed_transcript
GAUCUAUCAUCAAAUUAAUCGAAUUUUCGGGUAAGUUAUAAUGUUUUUCACCAUCAUAAUGUAAUGAAAUCGGUUUUAUGACAAAUACUUAUGUUGCAUAUUUUGACAGUUAUCAGGUAUAGUUAAUUAAAUGUUUUAACGAAUGUCCUGGGUGUUUUAAUCGAUGUUGUUUCAAAUUACGUAUUAAUAUAACACUGAUAAGACACAAACUACAGUUCGGUAUGUAAUUUAACUUGUUUACACGAGUAAAAGUUACUCGCGCUAAUGUGCUAACGUGCUAACUGCCCGGUGCUACGUGAGUCAGAGGCCGGGGUGGAGUGCAUGAGCCGCGGUCAGACAGUCACCAAUCACCGUGCGGCUAAAUGGAUCGACGGAGGAUAAAACCAUUAAAAGAUGCGGAGAAACACAUCACCAGCUCCACCGACAAGACCCAUUCACUGGAAACCGAAUAUAUAGAAGGUUACUAAGUUUUGCAGCAUUGAUGCCGAUCA